AGAGUUUGAUCCUGGCUCAGAACGAACGUUGGCGGCGUGGAUUAGGCAUGCAAGUCGAACGGGGUACCAGAGCUUGCUCUGGAUACCUAGUGGCGAACGGGUGAGUAACGCGUGGGAAACCUGCCCUCGAGACGGGGAUAACACUUCUAACGAGGUGCUAAUACCGGAUAAGACCACAGGUCCGCAUGGUCCAGUGGUCAAAGGUGGCCUCUACUUGUAAGCUACCACUUGAGGAUGGUCCCGCGUCCCAUUAGCUUGUUGGUGGGGUAAGAGCCUACCAAGGCGACGAUGGGUAGCUGGUCUGAGAGGAUGGUCAGCCACACUGGGACUGAGAUACGGCCCAGACUCCUACGGGAGGCAGCAGUCGAGAAGCUUCGGCAAUGGGGGAAACCCUGACCGAGCGACGCCGUGCGCGAUGAAGGCCUUCGGGUCGUAAAGCGCUGUCGUGCGGGGAGGAAGGUCCAACGGCGAACAGUCGAGGGACUCUGACGGUACCGCAAAAGGAAGCUCCGGCUAACUCCGUGCCAGCAGCCGCGGUAAUACGGGGGGAGCAAACGUUGUUCGGAAUUACUGGGCGUAAAGGGCGCGUAGGCGGCCUCGUAAGUGAGAUGUGAAAGCUCCUGGCUCAACCAGGGAAAUGCGUCUCAUACUGCGGGGCUUGAGUGCAGGAGAGGAUGGGGGAAUUUCCGGUGUAGCGGUGAAAUGCAUUGAUAUCGGAAGGAACACCAGUGGCGAAGGCGCCCAUCUGGCCUGCUACUGACGCUGAGGCGCGAAAGCUGGGGUAGCAAACAGGAUUAGAUACCCUGGUAGUCCCAGCUGUAAACGGUGAGCACUAGGUGUGGGGGGCAUCGACCCCUUCCGUGCCGCAGCUAACGCAUUAAGUGCUCCGCCUGGGGAGUACGACCGCAAGGUUGAAACUCAAAGGAAUUGACGGGGGCCCGCACAAGCGGUGGAGCAUGUGGUUUAAUUCGAUGCAACGCGAAGAACCUUACCCAGGCUUGACAUGCAUUGGACCGGUGUAGAAACACACCUUCCCCGUAAGGGGCCGAUGCACAGGUGCUGCAUGGCUGUCGUCAGCUCGUGUCGUGAGAUGUUGGGUUAAGUCCCGCAACGAGCGCAACCCUUGUCUUUAGUUGUCAUCAAGUAAAGUUGGACCCUCUAAAGAGACUGCCGUCGAUAGGACGGAGGAAGGUGGGGAUGACGUCAAGUC
rnacentral:rRNA from 1 species